AGUAUAGCUCAAUGGUAGGUUAUGUGCUUUGCAUGCACAGGGUCCUGGGUUCAAUCCCCAGCACU
rnacentral:tRNA from 1 species